rnacentral:rRNA from 1 species
GACGAACGCUGGCGGCGUGCUUAACACAUGCAAGUCGAACGGAAAGGCCCUGCUUUUGUGGGGUGCUCGAGUGGCGAACGGGUGAGUAACACGUGAGUAACCUGCCCUUGACUUUGGGAUAACUUCAGGAAACUGGGGCUAAUACCGGAUAGGAGCUCCUGCUGCAUGGUGGGGGUUGGAAAGUUUCGGCGGUUGGGGAUGGACUCGCGGCUUAUCAGCUUGUUGGUGGGGUAGUGGCUUACCAAGGCUUUGACGGGUAGCCGGCCUGAGAGGGUGACCGGCGACAUUGGGACUGAGAUACGGCCCAGACUCCUACGGGAGGCAGCAGUGGGGAAUAUUGCACAAUGGGCGGAAGCCUGAUGCAGCAACGCCGCGUGCGGGAUGACGGCCUUCGGGUUGUAAACCGCUUUCGCCUGUGACGAAGCGUGAGUGACGGUAAUGAGUAAAGAAGCACCGGCUAACUACGUG